GACCCUUACCCUAGCCAGCGACAUUGCUAUUAAAUUUUGUGUGAGUGAUGGUCUGAUGGAUCUUGGACGGUUUGAUGGUCUGAUUGGCAUUAACUUCGAUGUGGCUACUGUAAUUGAGGUGGUAUUUAGUCAGGAUUUUCGUACAAAUGUGCUAGCUAUGCUCAUAGUCGUUGUGGUCAACUGGUCAUAGUGCGUACCUGGGUGUGGUUGUUCUUGAGAGGAGAGCUACCAGUAAAAUCUCUGCAUUUUUUGUAGGCAUUGGAACUUUCUAAUCUCGAAGUUGUAGCUUUAGCUUGAUGCAAAUACUUACCUCUCAGAUCGUGGGGUCACUAGAACUGAAUUCCCCAUCCUAUCACUCAAUUUUGUAUACUUUCGAGGUAUCAACUUACACAUGUUGCUUUAUUGCUUUAGCUUGUGAACUUUGUAGCAUUUUAUACUACAUCGGAGCUUGGUCGCUUUUUUUUACAUGAUCAUAAUAAUUCGCACUAGAUGUUUUUUUUUGUGUCUGUGCAUGUGUAUUGGCGUGGGGAGGGGUUGCUUAAGAAGGAAUGACUGCUACAUUUGGUUGUGAGUUCCUGUUAAUAUGUCUACAGCUUCAAGUUCUGAUGUUCUCCUGUAUAUUUGCGCACCUGGUUUCUUGCAAUGGUUGACUUAAGACUUAUUAGCUGAGAUCUGGAGUAGUUUUUGUAUGUACAUUCUGGACAAGUUGAUCCCAUGGUUGUUUGAGUACGUAAGCUGACAAAACAACAUAGCUUGUCAAAUUUCUGAGAUGCAAUGCACGGUUCAGAACAUGAUCCAAGUCGAACAAAAGUACUCAUGUUCAUUUCAGGGGAUGCUAAUGUGAUUCAGGCCAAAUUCUAUUUGCCAUCAGUUAAUUAUAUUCAGUUGAGACAAAAAUGCUUUAGCAGCUGCUAAUUAUAUUACAUUGUGUUAUUAUACGAUCAUAUGAUUGAUCAUAUGUUGUCACACCUAACUUUUGGCUGGGUCAAAAAAUGCACAAGAGUUUUCUAUUAGCAAACGCAUUGCUGUUCUUCACAAGAUGGAAAGCAUCCCACGUGUUCAAAAAGUCGUUGCCUACAAGGUUUUCAGAAACGGCAAGAGUCGUGAGAUUUUCAUCAAUUCCGCUGCCGAGGACGAAGAGAGUGCUGCGGUGUUCCUUCAAAGCAAAAUGGCAGAGUUGGAUCGAGGUAUCUAAGGUUCUCAGUCAUCAAAAGAAGCAACAAUAAACAAGCUGGAUGGAUAAAUUUCUCUCGGGUUCUCAAAGCUAGAUGAUCAUGACACUAAGAGAUGGAUAUAUUUGUCUGCAAAAAUAUAAACAAUCUUGAACCAUUCCAGAAGUACUUGUGCCCCAUUAUAUUUGUCGCAAAAUUAUGUUGUGGUUGUGAUUAUCUAUUGUUGUCGUGAAAGAUCAUUGUUUGACAUGAGAAAAA